CAAUCGAUCGCAUCAUCUCAAAAAUCAAUCCACCACAAGCUAUUACCAGUGAUGAAGAUCCGGUUACUUUUCCAUUGAUUUCAGUCCCAUUGAAGCAACCAGAGUAGGUUCCUGUACAAUCGGAAGUUACAGAGCUUCCUCAACCUCAGAUUAUACAAGGUAAUGGUGAAAAUACACACAUGCAGACAUCAACACAACCAUCUGACCCUGAAGCAGUGAAGGUGACAAAUGAAGGAACCAAAGUGUGGGCAAAUUUGUUCCAGAAAAACAGAUUUGCCUCAAAUGGGAUGUCUCUGGAGUAUAUACCACCUACUAUCCUUGAUGGCAAACCUGUAGGUCAAUUACUGAAAGAGGAAGUAGAGGAGGAAGAGCAGAAAUGGAAGUGUUCUCUGGUGAUUUUUGUUUUGGGGACUGGG
rnacentral:lncRNA from 1 species